rnacentral:rRNA from 1 species
UACGUAGGGUGCAAGCGUUGUCCGGAAUUAUUGGGCGUAAAGAGCUCGUAGGCGGUUUGUCGCGUCGAAUGUGAAAACCCGGGGCUCAACCCCGGGCCUGCAUUCGAUACGGGCAGACUAGAGUUCGGUAGGGGAGUCUGGAAUUCCUGGUGUAGCGGUGAAAUGCGCAGAUAUCAGGAGGAACACCGGUGGCGAAGGCGGGACUCUGGGUCGUACCUGACGCUGAGGCGCGAAAGCGUGGGGAGCGAACAGG